rnacentral:lncRNA from 1 species
GGGGACCAAGCCUCCCACACAUGAACUUUAACCACUUAAACCAUGGCACUUGCUUAUGUUUGAAUGCUAACCGUAAAAAGCAUUGGAGAGAUACAUAGCGAAGACACAGAAGAAGAAAGAGGAAACAGAGUGCAGUCCCUCCAAAAUCAAAAGAAGAUGUGAAAAUGGCACUCUUACAGGGAGACGAAAGACUCCUCGGAAGUACCGCACACAGAGGGUGGCUUUGUGACCGCAGCUGUUGGAUAAUCGUCUUGACUAACGUCAUCAGGCGGGAGAUUCGCUGGUCUGUCCUUUUUGGUUGAUGGAACCUGAUAAACAGAAAAGAAAACAGAAAAACUGACCAAGGC